UCCUACAUUGCCUUCAGCUACACAGGUUUUUUCAUAGCGUCCUCAGCAUUAUAUUUAAAUUAUGCAGUAUUCGAUCUGAUCGAUGAGGUUGAUGCACGCCAGUUGAAGUAACCGAAAUUUAUCACGUCGAUAAGAUUAUUUUCUAUUUAACGAUACGUCAGCUUCGAAAUCUUCCGCAGCCAGCAACGAGAAUUGAUCCUGUAGGAAGAAUUGCUAGAGGUUGCAACAGAGCAUCAUUAUUCUUCUCUCCGCUUUUAGUUGUGUGCUGCAAGCAGUUUCGUACAGCAAGAGGCAUUUGUCACUUCGUGUGUGCACACAUGCGACAUUCAACAAACGACACACCAAAAUGCAGAAGGAGCUGCACUCAUAAGUUGAUGGCAACGUUCUCUUCAAACUGAACGACUACACGGUGCAAAAUUCCAGAAGAUAUCCAACUUCACAAUGGACUACGGACCAAGAGGGACGCAAGUGGAUACAAUUGUAUCCUAAGCCUAUAUAACAGUAUUUAUCAUGCAGACAUCAGGGAGGCUCUGACAGCCAUUGUUCAUUUGAUUUUUUCCCAAUUAAUUUAAUAUCUACAUAAAACUCUUGGUUCACAUGGCUCAUGUUUUGAACAAAUAGUGUUCAAAGUUUGUAUUCAGAAUCGUGGACAUGAAGAUUUCUCGGAAGAAAGGGCUGAUGUCAG